rnacentral:lncRNA from 1 species
UCAGAAGUGAACUCUCCCACGGCAACUGCAGACCCACCCUUUGCAGCGCAAGAACACGCCUGAGGGAGUGAGUCUUGCCACAUAGAGAAACUGGCCACAUGUUAGUGACCAAGCAGCAACUCCAAGGAGUUAAACCAAACAGCUUUGGGGCCUCAGAAGAUUGUUAUGGAGAAGGACCGAAUUGAAGCCCAUUCCCAUCUCAGCCACCAGAGGAAGAGUCCCUCUGCCUUAGGAGGGAUGUUGGGGAGAGGACCCCAAUCUUUGACAAAGGACUCCACGUGGACACUUAGGAACAGGAGAUCUCUCUGCAGGAAGCUAGCGGUGGCAGCUAGUGAACUGGCCUCAUCCCCAACAACACAUUCUGCUUCUGUGCCUUCCCUUACUUCCCAGACACCUGAUGUUUUACUGGAGAAGCAAAUACAACAAGGCCAAGAUGUCUUCAUUUCCCAUCAGAGCCAGGCCUCAACUGCAGCGGGAUCGAGGCCCUGGAUGUCCACGGCCAGCCGGUCAGAACCCGUCAACAGCUGUGGCCCAACAGGGCUGAGGUGGGAACCCAGGAGGUGGAAGGCAGCUAGGCCGAGCCUGCAGCUCUGUGUGUGACUGCAGCAGAGAGAGAGGCCGGGCCCGCAGAAACCCCAGCAGCAAGGGAAAAACAGAUUGACUCUCAGUGACUCAUUUAGCUCCUGGAUUGGACAGAUCUCUCCCCUGCUGGCGAUUUGGCUCUGCAUCAAUAGUUCGGAUACCAGGCUGAAUAGCUUAAAAUAAUUAGGGGGAAAAAAAAAUCUGCAAAACUGCUAGCCAUCCAACUCUUCACUCUGCUGAAAGACACAGGACAAACGACAUCUAGGUUAUUAAAUAUGAAGUCACUGGAUUUGCUGCCCAUUUGGUCCAAAAGCAGAAAACUGGAUAAAACUCAAAUUUAUAAUUCAGCGUAGAUGGCCUGUUUGUCCUUGAGGCAAUCCAUGAAUUUUGGCUGGGCAGGCACUGUGACAUGUGGAAAUAAUGUGGGGGGGAAAGGGGGGAUGAACAAUGUUUGAUUUCGACCCCACUCAGCUUCCACCCCCUGGGGAAAAAAAAUGAA